rnacentral:rRNA from 1 species
UACAGAGGGUGCAAGCGUUGUUCGGAAUUAUUGGGCGUAAAGCGCGUGUAGGCGGCUUGGCAAGUCGGGUGUGAAAUCCCUCAGCUUAACUGAGGAAGUGCGCCCGAAACUGCUUUGCUUGAGUGUCGGAGAGGAUGGCGGAAUUCCCCAAGUAGAGGUGAAAUUCGUGAGAUAGUGGGGAGACGACGGUGCGAAGGCGGCCAUCUGGACGACAACUGACGCUGAGACGCGAAAGCGUGGGGAGCAAACAGG